UACGUAGGGGGCAAGCGUUGUCCGGAUUUAUUGGGCGUAAAGAGCGUGUAGGCGGCCAGGUAGGUGGGUUGUGAAAACUGGAGGCUCAACCUUCAGAGGUCGACCCAAACCCCCUGGCUAGAGUCCGGAAGAGGCGAGUGGAACUCCUGGUGUAGCGGUGGAAUGCGCAGAUAUCAGGAAGAACACCAACGGCGAAGGCAGCUCGCUGGGACGGUACUGACGCUGAGACGCGAAAGCGUGGGGAGCGAACAGG
rnacentral:rRNA from 1 species